AGUGUGAGGGACUCAUUUUAAACGUCUUUUCAAAGAAAUGAUCAAACACAUGUAGAGAUUCAGCUCAGCUUUAUGUCACAUCAAUGUCCAUGUUCCUGUGUGAAGAAGUGUGAGCUGUCAGAGUGGAAAGAAUGAACGCUGUCAGAGUCUUUCUGAGGUGAAGAAGCUGCAGGACACCAGCUGCUCCAGCAGGUGGCGACUUUGUGCUUUGUUUCUAACAGUGUAGCAGGAACUUCCUCUCAGGUAGCAGGUGCUGCUGCAUGGAGGAGGACAGAUAGUUUUCUGAGCAUGAACGCUGCUUUAAUGUCCUGGACAGAUAUGAGGCUUCGUGAAGGCUUCUGGCUUGUUUCUAGGGAUUGUUGCAUUGACAAACUGAAGAACAUGUUCUGUGAUCAAUCAGCUUAAAGCCAGAAGGAAGAAGUUUGGACUUUCUUGUUGCAGAGGAGGCCUCAGGUCCAGGACGUCUGUGCAGCUCCUCAGAGGCUGGAGGUUGAAGCUCAGCUGCUGCUCAUGUUGUUGUGUUGUAAUGCAGGAUUUCUGGCUCAUUAGCUGCAACAGGAAGCUGCUGUUAUGUCCAAGGCCAAGAGAUAUCUUUAAUGAACUCAUUAAAUGCUCAUUCAUUCAUAUCCAGUGGAGGUAGAGGGUCCUGGAUGCUGCUGCAUCACAUCAGCAGCUCUGAUGGAUAAACUUAUUGGUUUAUUGUUCUUAGGGCUGAACAGUUUCUGAGUGACGGCAGCCUGCAGACACAGAGGACCAGUGACGGAGAAGCAGCCCAGGAUUUUCUAUGUUUCUGCUCAAACCCAGACAGCAGAGAUCUGUACUGGUGGGAAGAAGCUGAGUGGAGUCCUGACUGUUUCCAGGAAACAGAUCACCUGUCUGAGCGUCCAGGAGUGGACUGGAAACUUUCUUCUUCUUCUUCAGCGCUUUGAAUAAAGUGGAGACACGAUGACAUCAGAGGUGCUCUUGAACAUCCUGGAUGAUCUGGAUGAUGAUCAGCUGUCUAAAUUCCAGUGGUUCCUGCAGAAACCCAACAAUGUUCAAGGCCUCCCAGCCAUCACAAAGAGCCGACUACAGACACUAGACAGGUGUAAAACUGUGGAUGUGAUGGUGGAGACUUAUGGACUUCAGAGAGCUGUGCAGGUGACCAGGGUGGUUUUAGAGAAGAUCUCCAGGAAUGAUCUGCUGCAGAGGUUUCCUGCCAGCAGCUCAGGACCAGAAGGUCAGUCACAAGACAAGAACAACAUGAUAUCAUUACAGUCAGAAAGAUGCAUGAUGGUGCUGCUACAGUUUGAUAGAGUUCAGGUUCUGUCAGUUUUUCCUGAGUCCACAUGUAAGGUCAGUUCCUCUGUAAAAUCUACUGAUCAACCUACUGACUGAAUGCUGCCCCC